AGAGGGAGACUGCCCGAGGAAGGGGAGGAGAGAAGAGGAGAGCAGUGCAAAUCUGAAGCUAGGUCACAUCUAGACAGGACACAGUAAGAGGUAAAGCCAGAACAAAUGCCAGAAGUAAAAGAGUGAAAGGCAAAUGAGCAGACAGGGCACAAAUAAGGAGAAAGGAUGGAUUCUCAGGAGAGGGGAUGCACAUGAAGGGAAGACAGAUGAUUUCUCUGUGUGACCAGAAGGAUAGUGAUUACAAAGAUGAGAAUGGCAGGAAAGGGAAGAAAAGGGAAUAAGUAAGGAGACAAAAUAAGUCACAUAAGUACACAAGUACUAGUUAAAUGCUUAGAAAAUGAUCAGGUAGUUAGGCUAAGCUGGAAAGAGAACCACAACUCUACCAAAAAGGGGACCAUCAGAAAGGCAGAGGCAGGCAGUUUAAGGGACUAGCUACUGAGGUGAAAUUGCAAAAAAAUAAAAAUAAAAAAGGAAGAAGAAGAUGGAAAAGGUGAGAAGCAGGAGAGGGAAAACCCAAAGGAGACACUGGCCCAGAAACCUUUUUAACUUUCUGUAAAAAUCUUCAAGGCCCCAAACUAGGCCAAGAUUCUGACUGACAUUUCUGAGCUCACCAGCUGCUGUUUCCUUGAGAGUAUUCUGACAGGAAGGCAUAGAAAUGCAAGCCAACACUGCCGGCUCUGGACAAAAUAAUAAUACUAACACUCCAUGCUGUAACCACCACCAUGGGGCUGACCCCUCCCACGGAAGAAGGCACACAGAGGAGGAGGGACCUGCCUGCAACGUUUCCCCAGGCUUGGACCAACGGUGCUUGGGACAUACCAAGGAACCUUCACACUAGAGGCUGCCUGCAGUCGCCUCCCAGUGGAGCUGCCACCUGCUCUGGCUGGUCAAACGGAACCAAGUCCGUCUUCCUGAGAGGUUUGGUCCCCUUCAACCAGCUACAGCAGGGCUGGCAAUGCCCAGUCCUUGGAGGAACAGAAGAGAUCCACCUGUGGCUGAAAUUACAUGCUAGAGUUUUCCUUAAGAAAAUGACUCUGAUUUUAUCAUAUACUCUCAUGCUCCCAGGAAGGGAGAGAGGAGGAGCCCUGGGUUCACAAGUGAGCAAGAUAUUCCUACUCAGCACACAGAGCUUUGUGGCUUUUCGCCCACAACCACAGCCACUCACAUGCUCCUGAUGUACACAGUCAGUAAAGAUUUUGAGGAUGGAAUUUUUGCCAGCUCUGGGCCAGUCAGGGUAAGGGCAUGAGACCUCAAAGACAGGACUUCUGCUCGCAAGGGGCUAACAGUCUAAGUAAAGAAAUUGGAUUUAUGAAUAUGGCACAAUUCAAAGGAGUUUCCAGUUACAGCACAGCUAGUUCCAAGACACAAUACUUCUUACACAGCAUACCGAACAUGCCUGACACACUGUGUACCAGCAAGGCUUUAUGUAUCCUUCAGCCCAAGAUAUCUAUUUACUAAGCAACAUACAUGUGACUCAGUUUCCUGAUCUAUAGAAUGGUGAUAAUAAUCAUUGAGCCUACCACAUAUGAUUUUGUGUGGAACAAAAUGAGAAUACAUGUAAAGAAGUUAACAAGCCUUCAAUAAUUGUUACCUGUUAUUAAGGGGGAAUCCUGACCUGUCCUUCUACUUUCUCUUUCAAAAUGUGUAUCUCUGCCAGUGUAUCUAGGAGUAUGCCCAAAACUUAGCUAAUGCUCACUGACAUUUGUUGUUUGAAUUCCAGAAGCACAUGGGUUCACAUGCUGGCAUCUGACAUAAGUGUGGUCUCGUGAUGCCUAGAGCUCCCCAGUCUCCACACAGAGGGUGUAGUGCUUAUCUGCACAUGCCUGGGAAUCAGGGAGACCUGGGUUUGAAUCCUGCUCUUCUCAUUUAUUAGCUAUGAAAUAUUCUCUCUGAGCCUCAGUUAACAGUGAAUAAGCCUCAGUUUCCUCAUCAGUAAAGUAAGAACAAUGAUACUUAAAGUUGACUUAAGGAUUUAAGAUCAUGUAUAGAAAGAGCUAAAUAAAAUCCCUCAGGAAAUAGUAGCUGUUGUUGUUUUGUUAUUUUACAUAGCAAUAGCUCAAGGACCAGGUUGUGUCCAUGGGCCCCAGAAAAGUAGAAGGCCAGAAUAAAAAAAAAGAACAAAAAAAACACACUAAAAUCUCAUUACAGGGUAUUUUUAUACUCCAACUAUUAAUUCUACUAUCAUGCAGCACGCAUUCACUCUUGCUUGUGUUACUAGUUUGUAAUAAAUUUUACUUAAAAAAUAUUUCAUCUAUGAGACUGCUAGUAUCAUCUUGAAGAAAUAUCCUACCAAGAAAGCCUUCAUUUGUGAGCUAGUCUGUAACCACAUGUUCUGCUGAGUAUGUGAAAGCCUGAGCACGUACUCCAAAGGUGUAGAGCUCAGACACAGACAAUGUUGGAGUCAGGCUGCCUGGGAUCAAAUCCCAGCCAGACAGACACCCACCAGCUGUGUCAUUUGGACAAGUUGCUUGAUGUCUUUGGGCCCAAGUUUUCAUCAUCUGCAGCAUGAGAAUAGUAAUAACAGUGUCUACCUCAUAGGAUGUUCAUAAGAACAAAAUGAAAAUACAUGUAAAGGUGUAAAACCAGCACUGGGUACAUAAUAAGCUUUGAAGACUUUUUAUCUUUGACAAUGUGCCUGAAAUGUUCAGAAAACUAAAUUGCUGUUUAAUAAAACAUUGUUUAAUAA